rnacentral:rRNA from 1 species
UACGUAGGUGGCAAGCGUUGUCCGGAUUUACUGGGCGUAAAGAGCGCGCAGGCGGUCGUUCAAGUCGCGUGUGAAAGCCCCCGGCUCAACUGGGGAGGGUCACGCGAUACUGAUCGACUGGAAGGCAGGAGAGGGUAGUGGAAUUCCCGGUGUAGUGGUGAAAUGCGUAGAUAUCAGGAGGAACACCAAUGGCGAAAGCAGCUCUCUGGGACGGUACUGACGCUGAGACGCGAAAGCGUGGGGAGCGAACAGG